rnacentral:rRNA from 1 species
GCAGCCGCGGUAAUACGGAGGAUGCGAGCGUUAUCCGGAUUUAUUGGGUUUAAAGGGUGCGUAGGCGGACUAUUAAGUCAGUGGUGAAAUAUCGGGGCUUAACCUCGGGGCUGCCAUUGAUACUGAUAGACUAGAGAGUAAAUGGAGCAGGCGGAAUAUGUCAUGUAGCGGUGAAAUGCUUAGAUAUGACAUAGAACACCGAUCGCGAAGGCAGCUUGCUAAGAUACAUCUGACGCUGAUGCACGAAAGCGUGGGGAUCAAACAGGAUUAGAUACCCC